AGUGAACGCUGGCGGUAUGCCUAAUACAUGCAAGUCGAACGAACACAUAAUAAGAUUUCGCCCCUACCGGUGGCGACUGGCGGAUGGGUAAGACAUACAUCACCUUCCUAUAUUACGGGGGGGACAUCGUAAGGCCACUUCUGCUACCACAGCAUAUAUUCUACGGCAGAGUGCAAUAGUUCAUGGCAGCUUUCCUGUCACAUAUAGACGGGGCCGGAUUAGCUAGUUGGCGUGGUAAAGGCCCACCAAGGCAACGAUACGUAGCUGAUCUGAGAGGAUGAUCAGCCACACUGGAACUGAGACACGGUCCAGACUCCUACGGGAGGCAGCAGUAGGGAAUAUUGCGCAAUGGGCGCAAGCCUGAUCCAGCCAUACCGCGUGGGUGAAGAAGGCCUUCGGGUUGUAAAGCCCUUUUGUUGGGAAAGAAAAGCUGCAUAUUAAUACCCCGCUGUUCUGACGGUACCCAAUGAGAAAGCACCGGCUAACUUCGUG
rnacentral:rRNA from 1 species